CCGCCGCCACCCACCACCCCCGACACUCCCGGCGCAACCGCCCUUGUUUUCACACGCCCGUCCGGAGCACCGCUCGUCGUGGGUCACUACGGGAGUUCGCGGGUGCCUCUGGGUCAGAGGAUGGAAGAAGCGAGACUGGAGUUUCUUCUCGAUGCCGUUGACAGGUGAUGAGAUUCCCCCUGCGUGAGGAGUUUGCCGACAGCCAUGAACACCCAGAUCCAGUUCCUCUGGUUUUGCUUGCCAACAGCGGGGCAACAUCGUCGGCCGCUGCUGAUUCCAGCCCUGGCUCUGGCUGUGUUCAGCAAGUCUGGCGGCGAAGGGAACGGUGAUGCCCGUGCUGGGUUCGACGGCGACCGGAUUCAUCCCCAACUAGGUCAGCACAGUCCACAGACAGAGUAAAUUCCCAAGCGCCAGGGUGGACGAAAAGGUCUAGCAACAUGAAACCAAUUCUCGUAGAAUUUCAAAGGCCGAUUAGCGACGUUUUCGCGGAGUCAAUUUUGGGAAAAUUCAGACAUGAGUUAGAUUAUUUCGUGUGUGAUUCAGUACACAUAUGUUGCAACUAAUUCAACUUAGAGUGACAUGAACCAUUUAUUUGACAUCCUUAUAUGUACGAAAACAUGUGGUCCUGAUUUGAUUAGUCACAUGCUUUUCUGCUGCAAGGCUGCUCA